CCCAAGAUAUCAACUCCUAUACUAUGGAUGAUAACUACUUUUCCUAACUAUUCAUCCAUUCUAUCUGCUGAACCACCUUUUCAGUAGUUAUCUAUCCUUGUUUAUACUAUACACUAGAUAUCUACAUUCUGAAAAUAAUUACUUAUUCUACAAGUGUGUUUUCUUUUUUUUAUCCAAGCUUCUUAUUUCUCUCCAAAUUUAUGCUCUAAUAGAAACUUGGAUUUCAUAUUUUCCUAAAUAAUUCAAUUCUAUUCUUUAAUUCGGCAGCUUUGCUCCAAUAUUUUAUUCUUACUUGUUUCUAAUUGUUGCUUUAAAUUUCUCUCUCCAUCCAAUUUACUCAUCAUGAGCUCUAAUUGAAAAAUCUGAGUCGAUAAAACUUCCUUGAGAUUCACUCCU
rnacentral:lncRNA from 1 species